rfam:Picea glauca, whole genome shotgun sequence.
GUCUCUUUGUAGACAUUAGAUAAAAUUGAAAUGAUAUAGAAAAGAUUAGCAUGGCCCUUAUGCACAAAUCGAAAAAUGGUUUAAGUUUUU